AGUUGAAAAGGAGAGUUUUUCUCUUAGACAUUUUGUUUGCUGAGAAAGCAGAAUGUAGGGUGCUCUCAGCACACAAAAUGCCUAAGAGAAAAACUCUCCUUUUCAACUUC